rnacentral:lncRNA from 1 species
AAGCUUCCCGUCUUCCAUAAGGUCUGGAACGUGGAUCAAUGGGAUAAAAACUUGCCCUAGAUGAUGAUGCAGGAAGGCAGGAGGAUGGUUUAUUUCUGUUACUUCAUCGAUAUAAUCACAGUCGUGUAGCUGCAGUGAAACUCCACAAAAAUAAAGCAAUCAAGGAUCAGACAUCCUUAUUAAAUAAGCUAUCAAGAAAAGAAAAAAAAAAAGAAGGUACUCUACUGAAUACCAAUGAAUGCUGCCUUAGUUUCAUGACAUUCCAAUCAUUUUCAAGAAAAAUUCAACGGAUACUACUGCUAGCAGUAAAAAAAUAGACUGACUACUUUAGGUUAUUCUGGAGCAACAUCAGUUCUGGUAUGUUUUUGAGUAGACCAUAUAAGCUGGUAUAAGCUGCCAUCUGUACUUCCCAAAUGAUUUUCAGUUUUGUUUUAAUGUAUGUUUAAUCGUAUCAAUCAUAUGGCGCUUGCAGAAGAAUGUCUGCUUUAUCUGUCAUUGCACUUCAUCUGAAUUUAGAAGUUCAGAUGAAAAAUCUUCAUCUUAGUAAAUAAUCAGUUCAUCAUUGAUAAUGGAAUCUCAGUGGUAUAUUUCCACAUCAAGUGAUGUCAAAAACUCAAUUGAUGGCAAAUAAAGGGGCUGCAAAAACCCAAAGUACACGCAAUUCCAACAUUUGUAUUAAAGGUCAAAAUGCCUUAAUAUCAUUUCUUAUUCACAAACGGCCAAGGUGAGGCAUGAAAACUUCUAAAAUUGCUAUAUGAUUGAGAUUGUAAAUUUACAACACAUAAAUUUACACUUUUUUAAACAUAUUAGUAGUAACAAAUGUGCAUUGUAUUUAAAGGAUAUUUUAACUUACGUUUUCAGGGGUG